GUCGUAACAAGGUUUCCGUAGGUGAACCUGCGGAAGGAUCAUUACCACACCUCUUUUUAUUAUGACUAGUCUUUAUUAAAUUCCUUGGAGUUUAAUACUGACUAGUCAUAACAAAAAAACAAGAGAAAGAUGAGAGUUUCAUUACUCAAGUCCGACUUUUGCGUCCCACGUAUAUAACUUAAAACUUGUGGUGUCUUCGGAUGCCCUUUUUUAAAACAAACACAUGAAUUACAUUUCAAAUGUAUCUGAUUAUGAAUUUCAAUAAUUAGAAGUUAGUGAGUUUAUUCUCCCUAAUGACUAUAAAAAUUAAUGAAAAAACACUUUCAGCAACGGAUGUCUUGGCUCCCAU
rnacentral:misc_RNA from 1 species